rnacentral:rRNA from 1 species
GACGAACGCUGGCGGCGUGCCUAAUACAUGCAAGUAGAACGCUGAAGAGAGGAGCUUACUCUUCUUGGAUGAGUUGCGAACGGGUGAGUAACGCGUAGGUAACCUGCCUUGUAGCGGGGGAUAACUAUUGGAAACGAUAGCUAAUACCGCAUAACAAUGGAUGACGCAUGUCAUUUAUUUGAAAGGGGCAAUUGCUCCACUACAAGAUGGACCUGCGUUGUAUUAGCUAGUAGGUGAGGUAAUGGCUCACCUAGGCGACGAUACAUAGCCGACCUGAGAGGGUGAUCGGCCACACUGGGACUGAGACACGGCCCAGACUCCUACGGGAGGCAGCAGUAGGGAAUCUUCGGCAAUGGGGGCAACCCUGACCGAGCAACGCCGCGUGAGGGAAGAAGGUUUUCGGAUCGUAAAGCUCUGUUGUAAGUCAAGAACGGGUGUGAGAGUGGAAAGUUCACACUGUGACGGUAGCUUACCAGAAAGGGACGGCUAACUACGUG